CUCGGUUGAAUAACUUUGGCCACGUCCCAAAUUGAGCGUCAAGUUUACCACAGAUUAGAAGAUAUUGUUUUUCCCACCACUGAUUGGGUUCUACACUGUUUAGUAGUUUAGUAUGCGGUUUGGGACGGAGCCUAUUAGUCUUUUAAACUGGGUGCGUCGUGCUGCCUUCAUGUGCCACAGGAUUUGUGGUUAAUGCGAGUUUCCGACUUCAAAGUUGCAUGUCCGUUCAAGUCGCAAUAAGAAUAACAAUAAUGUAAAUGGUAAAAAUAAUGAUAAAACGUGACGCCCGAGUUUUUGACUUGUCCCAAAGCGUCAUUUCCAUAAAGACAGAAGAAUUCACUGGAUUGUGGUAGGUCAUUCUUUAUUAUAUAAUAAUAUUAAUGAUAAUAAUAUGUUUUGAGGAACAGAACUUACUUUUCAGUUUUCCGAUUUUGCUGACCGAUUUUUUACUUCAGACUCUGAAGUGAACUAACCCAUGCUUCCUAUCUAACUUUAGACGUGCACUUGAGUGCGCAGGCUCUUAAUUCAUAUUGAAGGAGCUUGUGCAUAUAGCGUCAGGAUUCUUCAGCAUGCGCAUGUAGAUUCCAGGUGUUACAGUUGUUCCAGGUGUGUGUGUGUGUGUGUGUGUGUGUGUGUGUGCUUACUUACAUUUGUGUUUUAUUUAUAACCGACUUAUUAGCCCGGAAAAAGUGUACUGUGCGCAUGAGCUGGGGCGUGGGGAGGGAGCAAGACAAGGAGGAGGUGGGGGGAGCCCCACCUUGAGAGGGACGUGAUUGGCUAUACCUACCGAUCCAGUUUAUGGAUAAUUAAAUCAUCAAUCAGGGCGGCGGGAGUGCGCGCUCGCUCGGGUCCAUGCUUCCGUUCAAAGCAAAUCAGAUCGGAGCGGAGCGCGCGCACAGCCUGAGAAAUGCUUUGUAGCACGUGAAGUUAAGAAAGAGAGACACAUCGUGUGCGGAGUCAUCGAGACAUGUGACCUAGUUUGCACGGUGAUCUCGUGCUUCAUAUGCGCGCUGCUGCUGCUUCUGCUGCUAUUGCCACUGCUGCCACGCUGACGCCGCGCGUGCUCUCAGCACCACUUAUCGGUUCAUUCAUCCUGAAUGCGCCGCUGCCCUCGCGCUGCUUCGCUCUGAAUAUUACAUACAGCGUGAAAUCGGCUCCGAGUCCGCGGCCAACCUGUGCUGCAACCUCCGGGUUAAUGUAUCCGCUAAUUUCAUUGGGAAAACAGGACGCCACCAUCUCUCUGUAUGCUUGGGUGUGUGUGUGUGCGUGUGUGUGUGCGUGUGUGUGUGCGUGCUUUCAUAACGCGUUGAGACAUAUUUUGACAUGAAAACUGCCAUCAGAUGCUCUUCAUUCAUUCAUGCAUUCAUGUGCAUAUACUGUAUGUGAAGUAAUACAAAAAAAAGACCAAACUAUAAACUAAUAUCCAAUUAAAAUAAUAAUGUUUGCUAUUUAGGGCGCACAGUGGCUUAGUGGUUAGCUCAUUGGCCUCCAGGGUCAGGGGUUCGAUUCCCGCCUCUGCCUUGUGUGUGCCGAGAUUGCAUGAUCUCCCUGUGCUGCGGGGGUUUCUUCCAGGUACUCUGGUUUCCUCCCCCAGUCUAAAGACAUGCAUGGUAGGCUGAUUAGCGUGUCCAUAGUGUCCAUAGUGUAUAAAUGUGUGUGUGAUUGUGCCCUGUGAUGGAUUGGCACCCUGUCCAGAGUGUACCCCGGCUUGUGCCCGAUGCUUCCUGGGCUCCAGGUUCCCCGUGACACUGUAGGAUAAUUGGUAUAGAAAAUGGAUGAAUGGAGGGAUGUUAGCUAUUUAUUCAAAAUAUUGAUAAAAUUCUAAUUCUAAGAUAUAAAAUAAUGCAUAAGCCACAAUCCAGUAAUUGUUUCUUAUAUUCUGUAAACCACACAGCUAGUUUUUUUUAUUUAUUUAUGAAUUAAUACCAUUUAUAAAAUAAUGUGUGUGUUAUUGUCACUGCAGGAAGAAAGCUCUAAAAUAGCUGAAUAUGAUGUCAUGUGAGUCACGUACACUCUCCACAUUAAAGGUGCCAUCAAGGAGACAUGUUCUGCACAUCGUUUACCUGGAAUCCUUUAAAAAAUAAUUGAAGGAACAUAACUGGACCUGAAGGACCACUAUGUUAAAAAUUAAUUAAAGUGUACAUCAUGCAAUUUCUCUGUUAAAGAUACGUAUUACAGGCACAAAGCAUGUCACCUUGAUGGUAUCACUCUAGAGAAAAUGGAAAGUACAACUUCUAAGAGUGUAGGCACUAAAUAUUCAUCAAAUGAAUAAUGGAAAAUAAGUAUAAGUAUUUAAAAAAAGCAUAAUUUAAUCCCUAUUACGUUAUAUUAUCUCUAUAUUAUUAUCUAGACUGCUUUAUCUGUGCCAUGCCUGAGGGCUGAGAGUUCCAUAAAUACUCUCACAAGACAAAACGACACAAGAGAUGAAGAUUGUCAGAUCAGUUCGCUGUGAAGAAAAGUGUGUGUGAGAUGGACUCAUCAGCAGGAAAAGGAGCAGCAGAGAAUAAGAGAUGAGACGACAUGAGACGUUUGUGUGGAGUGUUUUAGAUGACAGAGGAUGAACUCUGUGUGUGUGUGUGUGUGUGUGUGUGUGUGUGUGUGUGUGUGUGUGUGUGUGUGUGUGUGUGUUUGGCUCCAGGAGCUGAGAGCGAUGAGAAAGUUCCAGAAAAUCUCACAUCUGUAGCAGCAGGGAUAGAGCUGAGCACACAGGUGGUAGAGAGAGAGAGAGAGAGAGAGAGAGAGAGAGAGCGAGAGAGAGAGAGAGAGAGAGAGAGUUAUUUCCUGUCUAUGAGAAAAUCCUUUGAGUGUGUUCUCCUCUUUCUGUCACACACCCCCAUAGAACACACCCUCUCUCUCUCUAACACACACACACACACACACACACACACACACACAGAAAUACACAUGCACACAUUCUUCAUAGUCUGACUCAUUUGAACUCCUCCUUCCAGGUGUUUAUGAGUUGCACAACCGCAAUACUGAUUAUUGUUAUUAGACAUUUCAGCCUAAAAUGGUGGACUGAUAUCAGAGCUGAUGUGUUUCUUGGUGCAGUAUGAAGAUAAAUUUAAUGCACCCCAUGAAAAUGUAUCAUUUAGACUGACACAAGACAUGAAUAUAGCACACACGUCUGCUUCAUAGAUUUAUAACUUCUGCCACUUUUUCGAUGCAGAGAUUCAUUUAGUUUUAAAUGCAGUAAUACCAAAGGUAUUAUUAUUGUUAUAUUAUUAUUUUCCAACAAAUGUCUAAAAAAAUUACUAGUUAGUGCAAAAUUUAACAUGAGUAAUGUGUUGUUGUUGUUGUUUUUUUCAGACUUAAUCGAGUAUAGAAAACAAAAGGGACAAGGUUUUUCAACAUACAAAACUGACGAGAAUACAGGACAAAAAUUAAAUUAAAGGAUAAAAUGUCCUCAAGACAUGUUUGGUGGUAAAGUUUUCCAUAUUUAAAUAAUAAUAAUAAUAAUAAUAAUAAUAAUAAUAAUAAUAAACUGAAUAGAGUAAUAAAAAAGGAGUAGAAAAUGGAGAAAUAUCCCAAAACAUGUUAAAGUAGAUUAAAAUAAAUAAAUAAAUAAAAAUAAAAAGUUAAUCCCAGUAACCUUGGAAAAAGGCAAACAAACAACAAAAAAAAAACAUCCUUUAAAUUUUUUUAAAAAAAUUUGAAUAGAUAAAAGGGAGUAUAAAAAGUAUAAAAGGGAAAAAUCUUUGGUGUUAGAGUUACAGUACAAAGGGGGGGGGGGGGGGGGAGUCCCCAAAACAUGUGUUAAAAACUGAGUAGAGAAAAAAAAGAAAAUGUCUAUAGAGAAAAUGGAAAUGUCAGUAAAACUUUUUGAUGUUUCCAAAACAUGUUUUGUCAAACUGAAAAUAAAAAUGAAUAAAAGAGAAUAGAAUAAAAAUAAAAAAGAAAGAAAGAAAAGAGAAAAGUCCAGUAAAAUAAAAAUUCUUUAAAAAUUCAAUAUAGUAAAAAUUGGGGGGAAAUGGAAAUCAACUUCCCAAUAAGUAAGAAAAAAAAGUGCUCAAAUUAUUUCAGGUGUUAAAGUUUUUCAAAAACUAAUAAAUAAAGAGAGUAAAAAGAAAAAUUUGUGAAAUGGAAAAAAAAUGAGUAUAGCAAAACGAAAAAAAGGAAAAAAAAAAAAAAACAAGGAAGAAAAAUGUCCCCAAAACAUGAUUGAUGUUAAACUUUUUUCAAACUGUGUGUGUGUGUGUGUGUGUGUGUGUGUGUGUGUGUCUGUGUGUGUGUGUGUGUGUGUGUGUGUGUGUGUAUGAUGUGAAUAUGUAAAUAUAGACAUGUAACAGUGACGUUGAAUCACGUGAGCAACACGCCCUCUCUGUGUUGUACUGAGAAUUAAAAAUGCAGAUAGUAAAAGCAUUAAGGAAUAAACACACAUGAUGAGCUCGACCCUUUCAGGUUUCAUUCUUUAUUUUUCCCCCUCAGUCUGUUUCCUCACAGCGUGGGCAGCUAAUGUGAGGUAUCAUUACAUAGCGCCUGGUCCAGAACAGCACGAGGACUAUAAGUGCCGAUUCCAUUUGCAUAAUUAUCACCUGUGCGUGUGCAUUUACAUCACUGCUUAUGAGCCAAAAAACACCCAGGCCUCAGGAACGUUCACGGUUCUGAAACGUGCGCUGUCGUGUGUAGUAAUAGCUAAUACAUUAAAGAAUCACUGAUGUCAUGAAUGGAUCAUUUUAAUGAGGAGAUCCAUGAGGAGAUUUCUGGGUGACCAUGUGUGUGUGUGUGUGUGUGUGUGUGUGUGUGUUUCUGAGGCUCAGCAUGGAAUGUGCUAUUCUCACCACAACCAAGUCUGUCAUAUUUAGCUUGCCAGGAUUUGUGCAUGCACCCACACACAAACACACAGCAAAUGGAAAUGAAAAACACGACAGACAAUUAGAGAACGCGGCGCACGUGUGAUCUCGAAGAGCGUGUGAUCCAAAGGCUCUCUCGAACGCUUUACGUUCCACACACUCGGCUUCUGCCGCGCCCAAGAAAUUUGAACCACGUCAGACAUUGCUCAGUGAGCUGCGAGUGAGUGUGUUGCUACAUUCAGUACACACACAUACAAAUGUAGCCAUUUUAUCAGCAUGCUGAUGUUAGGAGGAAGGACUGACUUGUUAUUGGAAGGAAACGACUGUAUGUGCACGCUCUCUUUCUUGUUCGAUCUUUCUCUUGCCCUCUCUUUAAAGAGGUCAAGUCCACAGCGAUGCAAAAGUAGCAUCAGAAGCAGCGUUGUUUUUUUGUUUGGUUGGUUGGUGUGUUUUUUUAUAUUUUGAUGUUCCAGGUUUCUGAAGCAAGUCCGCAAGAGUAGCAGCACAAAACACACCCAAGUCAUUCUGACAGAAUUUCUUUCUCUCUCUGUCUCUCUCUCUCUCUCUUUCUCUCUCUCUUUCUGUACAUAUCUCUCUUUAUCUUUGUGUGUGUGUUGCACACGGCCUAGAAAAGGUAAGCUCUGGGAAAAAAAAAAAACAAGAAGAUGACUUUUUGAAAUGAAUAAUUGACUGCUGUUUCGAUGAAUAAUUAAUCAAGCACUGGAAUAAUUGUUGUCGGUCUAAUCUUUACACACACACACACACACACGAAUGAAAAUUUAAUGUAUUAUUAUUAUUAUUAUUAUUAUUAUUAUUAUUAUUAUUAUUUAGCUUAAUUUGUACUUUUAUUGACCCAGAAAUGACUGAACUGUGGUACCUGUUCAAUCACAAAAAUCAGGUCAAGGCCACAUGAUCACUCCGUUCUUCCUUCUGUGUUGUCAUAUAAAGGUGUUUACAUAAAAAAAAAAAAAAACAGAAAAAUAUUAAGUGAGAAAAAGCUCAGAAGUGCAAAAUUGGCAUACAGAUCUGCAUUACGAUACAAACAUGAAAUGUUUAAAAUGUUGCAAUAAAAACACAAAUUAAUCCA